GAUGAAGAACGCAGCGAAAUGCGAUAAGUAGUGUGAAUUGCAGACUUUAGUGAAUCAUCGAAUCUUUGAACGCACAUUGCGCCCCAUGGUAUUCCGUGGGGCAUGCCUGUUCGAGCGUCAUUUACCCCCUCAAGCUCCGCUUGGUGUUGGGCGUCUGUCCCGCUUCGCGCGCGGACUCGCCCCAAAGGUAUUGGCAGCGGUCGUGCCAGCUUCUCGCGCAGCACAUUGCGCUUCUCGAGGCACCGGUGGGCCCGCGUCCAUCAAGCUCACCCCCCCAGUUUGACCUCGGAUCAGGUAGGGAUACCCGCUGAACUUAAGCAUAUCAAUAAGCGGAGGA
rnacentral:misc_RNA from 1 species